UUUCGUCACCGGGGGUGCCGCGAUUCGUCGUGGCUGAGAGAGACCCCGCAACCUGAUCGGGGUCGUGCCAGCGGAGGGAGCGUGACGGUGCCGUCAG
rnacentral:ncRNA from 1 species